GCUAGCGUAGCUUAAGUAGAGCAUAACCUUGAAACUGUUAAGGUGAAUCUUCGACCGGUUCCGCAAGCA
rnacentral:tRNA from 1 species